rnacentral:miRNA from 1 species
UUAGAAUUGCAUGUUCUUGGGCUUCACCCCAGACCAACUACAUCAGGAAGUCCAAGGGUGGGGUCCAGCAAUCUGCAUUUUAA